rnacentral:tRNA from 1 species
CGGUGUAGCUCAGUGGUAGAGCAGCUGUUUUGUAAACAGCAGGUCGCGGGUUCGAUUCCCCUCACCG